GGAUGUGAGGAUGAUCUGGCCGCGACAUCUGUCACCCCAUUGAUCGCCAGGGUUGAUUCGGCUGAUCUGGCUGGCUAGGCGGGUGUCCCCUUCCUCCCUCACCGCUCCAUGUGCCUCACUCCCAAAGCUGAGCUUGGCUGAAGAGGAAGGCCUUCCCCAAAUAGAGAUGGAUGGUCUUUGGUUGAGAGUAGCUGCGCUCCCCUGCUAGAACCUCCAAACAGCUCUCAAGAAAAAGCAGGGAAUCAAUAAGAUAGUUCACCUGGUUGCUCUCACUUACCUGACCAAGCACACAACCCAG
rfam:Erinaceus europaeus unplaced genomic scaffold scaffold00159, whole genome shotgun sequence